AGACGUAAACGUAGGAUUUACGUCUGACUUAAGAUUAGAGUUACGUACUCGUGAAAUGGUAUUUACAAAACCGUUCGUAGCCGCAAACGUAACUUACGAUGUACGAUUGCACGUACGCGUGCGCAGUGGCUAUUUUCACUUCGAAGCGUAGAAUUUGCUUAUUUACUUUGACUUCCCUGCGCUACCGCCGCAUUAUGACGAAAAAGAACACAGAACUUUGUGAGAAAGCAACGAAUUUCAACGUAUACGUAUGCCUGCCAACGGCAUGUCGAUCAACUGUACCGCUAUUCAGUGUUGUUUACAAAUCCAAAUGGAAGGUUCAUCAAAUUUAACGCAUUUGACGUGUGCAUGGAUCUGCGAUGCUGUAGGUCUUCAAAAAGAAGUCGGCAUGGACUGACAAGGUCAUAAAGGUGGUCAAGAAAUAAAUUGCCAACAGACAGCAGCAUUCCUUGAUUUAGAUGAAUUUCUCUUCAUGUCCUCUCCUGAAUGAUUUUCCAUGAUGCCUCAGGGUUAGGAUUGGGAUGCAAGAUGUACAGUACAUAUAUAUGAUGUCUAUGGGUACAUUGCUGUAAUGGCCUGAAAAAUCUUUUGCGAAACCGAGAAAUGUUCAUCUUCCAUUGCCAUGAUUGUGUAAAAGGACGAGCAGAGGAAUGAUUCAAAAAUAUAUGGCAGGAUUGAGAAUCUAACCCAUGACCCGUAGUCUGGUACUCUACCCACUGAUCAAUCCAUGCUGAUGGUCCAUCUGCUACAUUGAUGUCAUCUUAUAUAUUUAUUUAUUCAUUUAUAUAUCAUAUGGACAUUUAAAAAUUGACAGUAAAAUAAAAAAAAGUUUGAUAUUCAGCAAAAUAGAAUUUGUUACAAUACAUGUUUAAGAAAUUAAGUACAUGUACAUGCAUUGUUAUGCAUACAAUUAUGUACAUGUAAUUAUAUUUGUUAAUAGAUAAAUUCUUAGAUGAAUUUUCAUGUUGUUAUUGAUAUUGACAUGUACAUGUAUUACUUCCAUUUCUAGAAUGAUUUUAACAUCUUGAUAUUAAAAUGAUGACAUAAUAAAUAAA